GCAGCCACCUUUUGAAACGCGUCAAAGCGUAACUUUAACUCCCAAAAUACCAUUAAUUUUUAUGAACCCCUAAUUUAUAAUGAAUGACUCCAUAUUUAUAUGGAAGACACCAUGCUAGGAUUAGUAACAAGAAUUUAUAAUUCUCCAAAAUGCAAAUAUAAACCAACAUGGAUAGACCAUUGGUAGUUACCGAACCUAAAUUCAAUGCAAUAACAUCCACAAGAAAACUCUGCAGUACUCACUCGUUAACCUAACACCAGCGCAUUACAGGAAAGAUUUAAAAAAAGAGAAGGAAUUCGGCAAAUGACGGCCCCGCCUGUUUACCAAAAACAUCGCCUCUUGACUUAUAAUAAGAGGUCCAGCCUGCCCAGUGAAUUUUAAACGGCCGCGGUAUCCUAACCGCGCGAAGGUAGCAUAAUCACUUGUUCUUUAAAUGGGGACUUGUAUCAACGGCAUCACGAGGGUUUUACUGUCUCCUCUUUUUGAUCAGUGAAAUUGAUCUUCCCGUGAAGAAGCGGGAAUAUUUUUAUAAGACGAGAAGACCCCAUGGAGCUUUAAACCAAAUAACAACUUAACCACUUAUCCCAUAAUAAAUUUAAGCCCUGUUAUAAGGUUUUUGGUUGGGGUGACCGCGGAGUAAAGCACAUCCUCCACGACGGAAAGAACAGAAUCUUUAUUUAAGAACCACACUUCUAGAAAUUAGUAUACUAACGUUUACUGACCCGACAAUCGAUCAACGGACCAAGUUACCCUGGGGAUAACAGCGCAAUCUACUUCAAGAGCUCAUAUCGACAAGUAGGCUUACGACCUCGAUGUUGGAUCAGGGUAUCCCGGUGGUGCAGCCGCUACCGAAGGUUCGUUUGUUCAACGAUUAAAACCCUACGUGAUCU
rnacentral:rRNA from 1 species